AAGUAUAAGCAAUUAUACAGCGAAACUGCGAAUGGCUCAUUAUAUAAGUUAUCGUUUAUUUGAUAGUACCUUACUACUUGGAUAACCGUGGUAAUUCUAGAGCUAAUACAUGCUAAAAAUCCCGACUUCGGAAGGGAUGUAUUUAUUAGAUACAAAACCAAUGCCCCUCGGGGCUCUCUGGUGAUUCAUGAUAACUCGUCGAAUCGCACGGCCUUGCGCCGGCGAUGGUUCAUUCAAAUUUCUUCCCUAUCAACUUUCGAUGUUUGGGUAGUGGCCAAACAUGGUGGCAACGGGUAACGGAGGGUUAGGGCUCGACCCCGGAGAAGGAGCCUGAGAAACGGCUACUACAUCCAAGGAAGGCAGCAGGCGCGCAAAUUACCCAAUCCCGAUACGGGGAGGUAGUGACAAUAAAUACUGAUACAGGGCUCUUUUGGGUCUUGUAAUUGGAAUGAGUACAAUUUAAAUCCCUUAACGAGGAACAAUUGGAGGGCAAGUCUGGUGCCAGCAGCCGCGGUAAUUCCAGCUCCAAUAGCGUAUAUUAAAGUUGUUGUGGUUAAAAAGCUCGUAGUUGAAUCUUGGGCCUGGCUGGCCGGUCCGCCUCACCGCGUGUACUGGUCCGGCCGGGUCUUUCACUCUGCGGAACCACAUGCCCUUCAGUGGGUGUGGCGGGGAAGCAGGACGUUUACUUUGAAAAAAUUAGAGUGCUCUAAGCAGGCCAAUGCUCGGAUACAUUAGCAUGGAAUAAUAAAAUAGGACGCGCGGUUCUAUUUUGUUGGUUUCUAGGACCGCCGUAAUGAUGAAUAGGGACAGUCGGGGGCAUCAGUAUUCAGUUGUCAGAGGUGAAAUUCUUGGAUCUACUGAAGACUAACUACUGCGAAAGCAUUUGCCAAGGAUGUUUUCAUUAAUCAGGAACGAAAGUUAGGGGAUCGAAGACGAUCAGAUACCGUCGUAGUCUUAACCAUAAACUAUGCCGACUAGGGAUCGGACGAUGUUAUUUAGUUGACUCGUUCGGCACCUUACGAGAAAUCAAAGUGCUUGGGCUCC
rnacentral:rRNA from 1 species